rnacentral:rRNA from 1 species
GACGAACGCUGGCGGCGUGCUUAACACAUGCAAGUCGAACGGAAAGGCCCUGCUUGCAGGGUGCUCGAGUGGCGAACGGGUGAGUAACACGUGGGCGAUCUGCCCCUUACUUUGGGAUAAGCCUGGGAAACUGGGUCUAAUACUGGAUAGGACCAUGCUGUAGGUGGUGUGGUGGAAAGAUUAGUUUCGGUAAGGGAUGAGCUCGCGGCCUAUCAGCUUGUUGGUGGGGUAAUGGCCUACCAAGGCGUCGACGGGUAGCCGGCCUGAGAGGGUGGACGGCCACAUUGGGACUGAGAUACGGCCCAGACUCCUACGGGAGGCAGCAGUGGGGAAUAUUGCACAAUGGGCGCAAGCCUGAUGCAGCGACGCCGCGUGGGGGAUGACGGCCUUCGGGUUGUAAACUCCUUUCAGCCAUGACGAAGCCCUUGUGGUGACGGUAGUGGUAGAAGAAGCACCGGCUAACUACGG